rnacentral:rRNA from 1 species
AGAGUUUGAUCAUGGCUCAGGACGAACGCUGGCGGCGUGCUUAACACAUGCAAGUCGAACGGUGCCAAGCCGAUAGUAAUAUUGGCGGAAGCAUAGUGGCGGACGGGUGAGUAACGCGUGAGCAAUCUACCUUAGAGUGGGGGACAACAUCCGGAAACGGAUGCUAAUACCGCAUAAGACCACGGCGGCACAUGCCGAAGGGGUCAAAGGAGUAAUCCGCUUUAAGAUGAGCUCGCGUCCCAUUAGCUAGUUGGUGAGGUAACGGCCCACCAAGGCGACGAUGGGUAGCCGACCUGAGAGGGUGAUCGGCCACACUGGAACUGAGACACGGUCCAGACUCCUACGGGAGGCAGCAGUGGGGAAUAUUGGGCAAUGGGCGAAAGCCUGACCCAGCAACGCCGCGUGAUUGAAGAAGGCUUUCGGGUUGUAAAAAUCUGUCCUUGGGGACGAAAAAAAUGACGGUACCCAAGGAGGAAGCCCCGGCUAACUACGUGCCAGCAGCCGCGGUAAUACGUAGGGGGCGAGCGUUGUCCGGAAUUACUGGGCGUAAAGGGUGCGCAGGCGGCGCUUUAAGUCAGAUGUGAAAUAUCCAUGCUUAACGUGGAGGGUGCAUUUGAAACUGGAGCGCUUGAGUGCAGGAGAGGAAAGUGGAAUUCCUAGUGUAGCGGUGAAAUGCGUAGAUAUUAGGAGGAACACCAGUGGCGAAGGCGACUUUCUGGACUGUAACUGACGCUGAGGCACGAAAGCGUGGGGAGCAAACAGGAUUAGAUACCCUAGUAGUCC